rnacentral:ncRNA from 19 species
CUGCCGAGGGGCGCUGCGACCGGAUCCCUUGAGGCCGGCCAGGCUCGGCCAGGUGGUACUGCAACAACGGCGCCCGGCCAGA